rnacentral:lncRNA from 10 species
GGAAGGAGGCUUUCCCUUCCCCACCUCCCUCCCCUCCAUCUCUUCCCUCUUUCCCUCUCUCCCCUUCACUCCCCUCCCCCAGCUCUUCUCUUCCCCCUUUCUGUUCUCUUUUUUUUUCUGCGUUAAACCUUUCGGGAGUGUCUUUGUAAACUAUUAAAAAGAGUUAGGUCUUCAACAUGUAUGUUUACUUGCAGGCCUGAGAACUGGAGGAAACUGGAGAAAAGAUGCCCUCUGACUCUUUCUGUUUGGCUGCCCAGGCUCGCCUUGACUCCAAAUGGUUGAAAACAGAUAUACAGUUUUUUCAGGUGCGGAUUUUCUGAGACCACCACUGCAAUCAGGGUACAUGGACAAGGGCCGUUUAUACCCACGUUCACGUAUUCUCUCCACCUUAACUGCUGGCAACCACUCAUCUGUUCUCUGUGUCUAUUAUUUCCCGGCCUGCGGGCAAAGGCGUGGAGGGGCUCGCCAGAGUGGGAUCCCGAGCGAUGCUGUCUUUCGCCUUCGCCUUCCUGCGCAGGGCCUGGCGAUCAGGCGAGGAUGCGGACCUCUGCAGUGAGCUGUUGCAGGAGUCCCUGGAUGCCCUGCGAGCACUUCCCGAGGCCUCGCUCUUCGACGAGAGCACCAUGUCCUCUGUGUGGCUGGAGGUGGUGGAGAGAGCGACCAGGUUCCUCAGGUCUGUCGUGACCGGGAUAUUGAAGCCAAAAAAGAAGCACAGAAGGAAAAAGAAAUUGAUGAACAGGAAGCGAAUGCCUCAACGUUUCACAGAAGCAGGACUCCAUUGGAUAAAGACCUUAUUAAUACAGGGAUCUGUGAGUCUUCUGGCAAACAGUGUUUGCCUCUGGUUCAGCUCAUACAACAACUUCUCAGGUAAAUCGUAUUAGCAGUAUUGUAUUGUAUUUUAUUUAUUUACUUUUUUUUUUUUUUUUUUGAGACAGCAUUUCGCUCUUGUUGCCCAGGCUGAGUGCAAUGGCACGAUCUUGGCUCACCGCAACAUCCACUUCCCGAGUUCAAGUGAUUCUCCUGCCUCAGCCUGUCAAGCAGCUGGGAUUACAGGCAUGUGCCACCAUGCCCAGCUAACUUUGUAGUUUUAGUAGAGACGGAGUUUCUUUAUGGUGGUGAGACUGGUCUUGAACUCCCGAGCUCAGGUGAUCCGCCCACCUUGGCCUCCCAAAGUGUUGGGAUUACAGGCAUGAGCCACCACGCCUGGCUUAUUUAUUUACUUGUUAAUUUUUUUUUUUUUUUUUUUUGAGAUGGAGUCUCACUCUAUCGCCCAGGCUGGAGUGCGGUGUCACAAUCUUGGCUCACUGCAACCACCACUGCCUGAGUUCAAGCGAUUCUCCUGCCUCAGCCUCCUGAGUAGCUGGGACUACAGGUGUCCGCAACCACACCUGGCUGAUUUUUGUAUUUUUAGUAGAGACGGGGUUUCACCAUAUUGGUCAGGCUGGUCUCAAACUCCUGACCUCAGGUGAUCCAUCUGUUUUGGCCUCUCAGAGUGUUGGGAUUACAGGUGUUAGCCACUGUGCCUGGCCUUUAUUGUAUUUUAAUGAGUGAUUGUUGUUUUUUAUAUUAAGAUAAUGAAAUCCAGCACAAGAAUCUCAAAAAUUGGUGAUUGAAGGGAUAUUCUGAAAAUUACCUAGUACAGACGUUAGGAUAAAGAGCAGACCCUUUUCAACGUAGGUAAGAGGAGAAAUUGGAGGGUAUGAUGAUAUUCAAAAGUUUUUCACAGAAGAGAAAUUGGGGUGUGCAGUAAACAUGUGAAAAGAUUCUUAGUAAUAAGCAGGUGGAUGCAAAUGAAAAUCAUCAUGGGAAGGUUAUUUUUAAAACUGGUUCUAUCAUUGCCUCACUUUACAUAUUACAGAGUUAUACAUACUACUGUGUAAGAUAACUUUUCUUUUCAAAACUAAAGUCAAUGUGAAGGAAUGAUGAGCAUUGUUUUGUAAGGCCAGACUAGAAGGAGGUGGGAAGAAGUCAGACUCAGCCUGUGAACAGAGGCUAACCUUGGCAGAAGCCAAAACGUUCAGACAGUGUUGUGCAAAAAGGAUCACUCAAGAAGAGCGGAAAAGCAAGAUGAUUUGUGAAAGAGAUUUAUUAGAAAAUGAAACACAUUUGUACCUCUUAUUUAAUAAAAAUCUGCUUUUUGUAAAGUUGGGCUUCUGGUUUUAGUUUCUACACAUAGAGAAAGCAAAGAACUGGCAGGUUGCAUCAGGCGGCUGAGCACAGAGCAGGGAGCCCUGGGAAGUGGCCGCAGCUCUCAGCCGGCCUGGUCAUGGGGCCGUGGUGGGUCUGUGGCGUGGGGUGGCCCUGCUGUCCACAGCCAGAAAAACGAACUUAGUGGACACAGUGAAAUUUUGAAACGGGAAGUUUUUAGAGCUAGUUUCUAUCAUGGAUUUUAGUAAAUGCUAUUUCGAAAAGCAUUUUUGUGAUGUUUAUUUUGUUUUUCUAAUCUGAUAAUGCAUAUUUCACGCAUUCUGGUCUUUAACCAAUGGAAAUUAGUGAACUAAACUUAAUAUAGUUUCUGUUAAGGGAAAGAUCCUGGGAUUUGUUCUCAGAAAAUUUCAGUUGGAACAACUUGUUCACAUAGGUGAACUUCCAACUCAGUAACUAUGGGAAUAAGAAUAAAAGCUGUGUUUACUUUCACAGAGUUCAUUAAGAAUAAAUGAGAAAGUGGAUGUUAACAAGUUUGCAAUUAAAAUGUAAAGUUACAUGCAAAGUUUUCUUUUUUUUUUUUUUUUUUUUUGAGACGGAGUCUCGCGCUGUCACCCAGGCUGGAGUGCAGUGGCCGGAUCUCAGCUCACUGCAAGCUCCGCCUCCCGGGUUCACGCCAUUCUCCUGCCUCUGCCUCCCGAGUAGCUGGGACUACAGGCGUCCGCCACCUCGGCCGGCUAGUUUUUUGUAUUUUUUAGUAGAGACGGGGUUUCACCGUGUUAACCAGGAUGGUCUCGAUCUCCUGACCUCGUGAUCCGCCCGUCUCGGCCUCCCAAAGUGCUGGGAUUACAGGCUUGAGCCACCGCGCCCGGCCACAUGCAGAGUUUUCAAGUGAGCAUUUUCCAGAGGUGCUUUUCUAGGUUCUUGAAUGCCUCUCCGUUGUCUGAGGCUGCGUCAUGGGCUGUUGGUGUCUUUGGCGGGGGGUGAGUGCAGGGUUCCUGUUGUGGGUCCUUCGUUCUCACGAGGGCAGUGCCCGUUUUCCCCAUCUCCUGCUUGCUCAGACUGUUUCCAUGUGCAGAGACACUGGCCUGUUUGAGCUGCAGCUGUGCUAUUUGAGCUGCAGCCGUGUAGCCUGUGCUGGCCAGUCUGGCUGCACUCACACAGUUUGCUGAUCAGCACUUGAAGUGUGUCCAUUGUAGCUGAGACAUUGAAUAUUUUAUCUGUUUAAUUUUUAUUAAAAUACAGAUUUUAAAACUCGAUUCUGUUAUUAGGAAGCAUGUAAGUGUGUUUAGAAUAACUGGGCCAUGUGAGUCUACUUUGUCACCUGUAUAUUUUAUGAAUCUAAGUGCGGAUCAGAUAUUUUCAAUGCAAAUCUCACUGUCCAGACUGAAAUGUGCUGCAUGUGUAAGCUACCCCGAUGGUUUUUGAGGACUUAUGAAAUAACCUGUGUAGCCGGGCGCGGUGGCUCAUGCCUGUAAUCCCAGCACUUUGGGAGGCCGAGGUGGGUGGAUCACGAGGUCAGGAGAUCCAGACCAUCCUGGCUAACACGGUGAAACCCCGUCUCUACUAAAAAUACAAAAAAUUAGCCGGGCGUGGUGGCGGCGCCUGUAGUCCCAGCUACUCGGAGGCUGAGGCAGGAGAAUGGCGUGAAUCCGGGAGGUGGAGCUUGCAGUGAGCCGAGAUCGCGCCACUGCACUCCAGCCUGGGUGACAAAGCGAGACUCCGUCUCAAAAAAAAAAAAAAAAAAAGAAAGAAAUAACCUAUGUAAAAUAACAAUUUUUCUUAUAUUGAUUUGAUGUUGAAAUGGUAAUGCUUUCAAUCUGUUGGGAUAAGUAUGAUACAUUAUUAAAAUUAUUUUUAGUUUUUGAGAUGGAGUCUUGCUCUGUUGCCCAGGCCAGAGUGCACUGGCACAAUCUUGGCUGGACAGCACCCUGAUCAGCACCAUUUCCCGCCUCAGCAGGGCAGUCUCCUUACAGGGAACUUAACGAGGCACAAAAGAAGGCUCAGGGGACAGGGAGGACUUCUGCUGGGAAAAGGCUCCUAGACCCGGUUCUGCCUCUGACUUGCUGGGGGUCCUCGAGAAAGUUGCUUCCCCUCUGUGGUCUCAGUUUCCUCAGGUAAGAAAUGAGGGGUUGGGCCAAAUGGUCUAAGGUUCAGGGAACCUCUAAGUCAGAGCUCAUAGCUGCUGAUCAAGAUGAGGGAGAGGCUCUCAGGGUCAGCCGAAUGCCUGAGAGGCAAGACAGGCCCAAAGGUGAGCACCCUGAGCACAUCAGGUGGGCUCGGAGCUGGUGCAUCAGCCCCACAUUCUGCAGAGCAGCCCUGGACUCGGGAGCCCGCUCACACCAGCCCGGUGGGACUUGAAAGAUGUGAGGGUCCAGCCUCUCCUACUGUUGCAGGGCUGGGGUCUGGGAGCUGCAGAUUCUGACCCCACAGCUACCUUAGACAUGCCAGACGGGCUGGGCAAGACACACCCUCUCUAUGAAAUGAGCAGACAGUCCAAAUAGAUACACUAGAGAAGGGCUGUGGGAAGGACCCAGUGCCACUGACUGCACUGGGUGCCUCCCACAGCCACUAAAGGCAGAGUAGCUUGUUAUAGAUUAGCCUCCCCACAAGAGCAGUUAGAAAAACUGGACAAAAAUGUGCCCCAAUCAAAAACAAUUAUUUGAAGGUAAUUGGAGAGCUCAGCCAGGAUUUGAGUGACCAGGCCUGGGAGGUGACCCUGACAGUCUGUAGUGCUUUCCCACACUUGGUGAUUGGUCAACAGUAGAGGGCUAAGAGGCUAAGAAACUUGAGUAUGAAGUGGUAGUGAACAGGCUGGAGAGCCUAGCUGAAUGUUUGGCACUCACAGGGCUCAAAUGACAUAAUGAGAAUUUGGAUCCCAGUAAGGAGAUGGGACCCUGGAAGGGCCACCCCUAGGAGAAGAAAUGAAUAAAAAAUAGACCAGCCGUCACAAAAACUAAAACCUGCUUUGAACCAGCUUAGUCCCAAACUGGAUGAAGGUGAUCUGCCCUUACUCCAAUUGUGUGCCAUAAAGUCAAAGUCAAUACUCUCUCUCUUGGCCGGGCGCGGUGGCUCAAGCCUGUAAUCCCAGCAUUUUGGGAGGCUGAGGCGGGCGGAUCACGAGGUCAGGAGAUGGAGACCGUCCUGGCUAACACGGUGAAACCCUGUCUCUACUAAAAAAUACAAAAAAAAAAAACUAGCCGGGCGUGGUGGCGGCAUCUGUGGCCCCAGCUACUCAGGAGGCUGAGGCAGGAGAAUGGCGUGAACCCGGGAGGCGGAGCUUGCAGUGAGCUGAGAUCCGGCCACUGCACUCCAGCCUGGGCAACAGAGCGAGACUCCGU